rnacentral:lncRNA from 1 species
AAAAUUACAAUCUUCCAACAUUAAUAGGUUCUGAGCAAUUCGAAUUUUCGCGUUUAAUUCAUUUGCCACGUCCCUGUACAUGGUGAAAAGAUCAGACAUCAUCUAAAAGAUCCGAAAUUUUGUUUUACAACACAUACUAAAAUUUCAGGGUUCCAGCGAUAGUACAAGUACCCGAAAAAUGCGAUUUUAUGAAAAAAGUCCAUUUUUUUGCGUUUUUGCAGGUAAUUGGAGGUGUCAACCUAAACUCUGAUGAAAUGGCUGGUGGGAACAAUACUUUGACGCAUGGUGGAUACAAAUUUUUUGCUCGUGACAGGUGGCCGGGACUUGGUUGGGUUUUUUGUAAAAUUAUGAAUGAAAAUGAACCGGAAACGAUCAGGGAAAGGAAGCACCGAAUCAGAAAAUGAAUGGGCUUUCCGAAUCUGUGCAUAUCAAUUGGGGA